rnacentral:lncRNA from 1 species
CAAAUAUUAUUUUUUAUUUCAAUUCUUCCAAUCCAACUCUACAUUAAUAAAGUUUAAGCUAUGUACCUGGAAUAAUGGAAACACGGAAGUGAGGUUCAGCAAAUGAAAACAGCAGCAGAACAACUGCAAGGUAACAAUACAGAGAUCAGCAGAACAAUCUUCAGAUCCCACACCCAAUUUCGAACUUGAAACCCAGACGCACCACCAAAGCAAAUAUUCAAAGCCAAACUUUUGAAACCAAGAUCUCAGUCCAUUUUAAACCCCACAGGAUUUAGAGAAUGGCUUCAGUAAAUCAAAAUCUCAAAAUUCAAGGCAAAAACUUACUGAAACAGUGAUUUUUUAUUUUUUUUUUCUAGCUGCUUUGAGUUUUUCUGGAUAUCUAGCUCUAGAAACAUCGACCUCUCCAAGAAAAAAAAUCUUUAUGCUCUAAAAGUUUUAGGCUAAAAAAUCUGAUGGCUAAAAUUUCUUCUCUUUUUUUAGGCUCUAAAAAUAUCUUUCCAGAAAUUUGAUUUCCAAAACCCUCCUUGCAAGGCAAGAAUGGCAUACCUUUAUAGGCAAGCAAUUGAGGUAAGCUUCAGAUUCUUGUUUUAGCUUUUGGUCCCUUUUCAAUUUCAUUUUUGCCAAUUAAUCCCUCACUUUCUGACUUUCUGUCCAAGUUAAUACCCUAUGCAACUUUCUAGGAAGCUUCCUAAGUUGUUACACCUAAAAUUCCUUUGACUAAAUACCUAAACUACCUAUGUAUUUACCCUAGAAACAUCCGGGUCAACUGGUCAAGGCUAAAAUGGGUAAC